UGCUUUACACAUGCAAGUCGAACGGCAGCACGGGGGCAACCCUGGUGGCGAGUGGCGAACGGGUGAGUAAUGUAUCGGAACGUACCCAGUCGUGGGGGAUAACUAUCCGAAAGGAUAGCUAAUACCGCAUACGUCCUGAGGGAGAAAGCGGGGGAUCGCAAGACCUCGCGCGAUUGGAGCGGCCGAUAUCGGAUUAGAUAGUUGGUAAGGUAAUGGCUUACCAAGUCAACGAUGGGUAGCUGAUCUGAGAGGAUGAUCAGCCACACUGGAACUGAGACACGGUCCAGACUCCUACGGGAGGCAGCAGUGAGGAAUAUUGCGCAAUGCCCGAAAGGGUGACGCAGCGACGCCGCGUGAAGGAUGAAGACCCUAUGGGUUGUAAACUUC
rnacentral:rRNA from 1 species